ensembl:lincRNA
CUGAGUCACCCUCAUCAUCUGCACUUUUCUAGGGAGGCGACCACACUGCGGUGCCCAGGGCAGCACUGUGACUCACACGUGAGGCUUGCGUCCCACCUGGCCCCACCCUCGAGCCCUACUUCCCAGGUCCAAGUUCCCAGGCAGCUUACCACGCCCAGCACGGGCAGAGGGCGGGUCUCCAGUGAACGCGCCUAGGGCUUAAAUCUGAGCUCUCUCCCUUUUGAAAGUAUCCACAUACUCUUUAAAAUCGUAGACUGAAA